AAAUAUAAUUACAUGUUUAUGAGCAAUUAUUGUUAUAAUUAUGCACGUGACUGGCAUAAAUGCAUUCUAACUUUGACUUUGAUUAAUGAUAAUAAGUGAUCACGCGUAGAAACAAGUGCUCGUAGAAAAAAAGAAAAGUGGAAUAGGAAAAAAAAAGAAAAAAAGAAAAAAGUAAUUUUAAUCGGAAAACAUCGAGAGAUGGAGGAUCAAAGUCGAAACGCAUUUAACCACCAUUAUGUAUUAUAAAAUAUAUCGUAAAAAGAAAGAGAAAUAUUGGUAGACAAAAUUUGUUCAAUUUAAUGGAGUGUUAAAAAUGCAGGAAAACCACCAUAAAUUGGAACUAUGGGUAAUCUUGUUGCUGCGUAUAAACGCAAAAAUAUUCUACGACCCCAAGUUACUGUUCUAAAUGCUUCUCUGAUAUUUCUUGUGAAUAUUGGAAUUAUAUCCUGCAAAUGUAAUGUAAUACACGUAAGCCAUCAGACA